GACGAACGCUGGCGGCGUGCUUAACACAUGCAAGUCGAACGGAAAGGCCCUGCUUGCAGGGUACUCGAGUGGCGAACGGGUGAGUAACACGUGGGUGAUCUGCCCUGCACUUCGGGAUAAGCCUGGGAAACUGGGUCUAAUACCGGAUAGGAGCCAUUUUUAGUGUGAUGGUUGGAGAGUUUUUUCGGUGUAGGAUGAGCUCGCGGCCUAUCAGCUUGUUGGUGGGGUAAUGGCCUACCAAGGCGGCGACGGGUAGCCGGCCUGAGAGGGUGGACGGCCACAUUGGGACUGAGAUACGGCCCAGACUCCUACGGGAGGCAGCAGUGGGGAAUAUUGCACAAUGGGCGCAGGCCGGAUGCAGCGACGCCGCGUGGGGGAUGACGGCCUUCGGGUUGUAAACUCCUUUCGCUAGGGACGAAGCUUUUUGUGACGGUACCUAGAUAAGAAGCACCGGCUAACUACGUG
rnacentral:rRNA from 1 species